CUGGGGUCAUCAAGAGCUGGACACGACUUAGCAACUGAGCAACAACCACCACCUAUCUUUUGCUUUUGAAAAAGAAAGAUUUCCCUCUCUUUGUCAAAGUAGUAUAACUAUCUCCUAAAUGUAAGUGUGUACAUUUCAAUACAUUUAGCACUUACGCCUCACAUUGUAGGUCAUCAACAGUCAGAAAAUGAAAAUGUGAAAAGUACUGUAUUCAAUCUUACUGAAAAAACUAAAGCAAAACAAAAGCUACAGUUUCUUCAAGGAAACAUAGGAGAAAACCUCUGCACCUUGGAUUUGGCAACGAGUGUUGAAGUAUGGAACCAAAAACUCAGUCUGUGAGCAGGGGAAAAAAGAAAAACUGGACUUUAUCAAAAGUAAAAGCCUUUGCUCUGUAAGAGACACUGGUAAGAGAAUAUAAAGACAAGUCGUAGACUUGAAAAAAAUGUUUACAUGUCACGUCUCUGGUCAAGGACAUUUUUCCAGAAUGUAUAAAGAACUCUUCAACCCAAUUUGAAAAGUGGAUUACUAAUAAGCUCAUGGGGAGAUGCCCAAUUCAAUCAAUAUUAGUAAUUGUUAGGGGAAUGUGACCUAAAUCCACAACAAGCUACCAUUAUACCCUUAUUGAAAUGACUAAAAUUUUUAAAUGGUAGCAAUUUUGGAUAUUUGGAAAAGAAUAAAGUUAGAGCCUCACUUUUCACUUUACAUGAAGAAAUUCAAGUCUGACAACAUGGUAUACUCAUGAAGACACAGAGCAACUAGAACUACUCAUGUUGCUGGUGGGAAUGCAGAAUGGCGCAGCCACGUUGGAAAAGGGUUUAGCGGUUUCCUUUAAUGUUAAACAUAUGUUUUAUCUCGUGACCCACUGGUCCUUGUCCCAGUUAUUCAAAUGAACUGAAAAUUUACAUUCACAAAAGCUUGUACAUAAACGUGUCUUAACAGUUUCACUGACAAUUGCCAAAACCUGGCGACAACUAGGACGUGCUCCGGUAGGUGAGAUGGUGAACGGUUUGUGGCGCAUCCGUGCGACGGAAUACCAUCCAGCAACCAGAAGGGACGGGCUCACGACGCACGUGACAACAUGAACGCGCCACCCAUGCAUUGGGCUCAGCAGUGAAAGAAGCCAGCUGCAAAAGGCCAUGUCUUAUCUGAUAUCGUUUAUAUGACACUCCGGAAAAGGCAAGACCACAGGGACAGAAAACAGAUCAGGGGCUGCUAGUACUUAGGGGAGGGACGUACUGAACCUCCGAAGAGCUGCACCCCGGAACGAGCAGGCUGCGGAACUUCUCCGCAUGCUGACGUGGUGCUGGGCACACAACCCCAGGCAUCUGUCAAAACCCACAGAACCUGUGCAUCUCCGAGGGUACAUUUCACUGUCCACACCACCCCCACUCGCCACCCCCAGCCCUACCAAAAUAAGCCUGUUUUAGGAUGGAAAGCAGACUGUGCCAAGCAAGCUCUGUGUUGCAAAUACAACACGGUGCUGUGAGGAGAGCAGGAGGAGGAGCUGGCCUACGAAUCCUGGGGCAACAAUCUUUCACUGGACAUGGUUAAACUGAACUCAUAAACACAGUAUUCUAGGUGGUAAGUUUCUCAAGGGGCACUACGGGUACCCUUGAAUAAGUAAAUUUAUAGAUGGUGGGAGCAGGGAAAGUAACAGAGUUGGGGGAUGGUGAGUGAACCGGUAAUGAGAAAAUACCAGAAUGAACUCAUACUUGAUACAGACACCAAUAAAUACAGACGUGUGUGCACACGUGGGUUAUUUUCAUAUGUACAUAUUUCCUAGCUCUGUCCAUUGAGAGACUCCAGAAGCAGUGACGACGCUAGAGCAGUGAGCAUUUCCAGUGCCCAGAUCCUGGCUUCUAAACCCUGUAUAUUCUCCAGUAAAAGGAACCAGGACCACGGCAGAAUGGUGAUUCUAGGGCUAGGGCAGAGAACAUGUAAGAUGAGUCUAAAGUACUGUCUAGUGCUAGAAACGAAAGAAAUGCUCAAAAGUGAAUAAAUGAGAAGGAUGAGGGCCUGUCAAAUGGACACGGGAACUUACCUAAAAGAGCUCUCAAUCCAGUGUCCAAAGCUACAAUAAUUUGAGCAACAAAAUUAUAUUAAUGCUACGAUUAGAUUACAGCUCAAAUAUACAUAUUCCUGAGUCCAUACUGAUACGAAAGAGAAGUACACAUCUUCCUUACAGAAGAAUUUCAAAUAAUUAAUGUAGAAAGACUGAGGGGAAAAAAAACCACCACUAAAACACCACCUCAAUGUUACUUGCUAUAGGCAAGACCCACGGAUGAAUGCUAAAAUCAGUAGGUGAAACUUUCAGGAAAAACUUCAAAAGCUCUCCCCUCUGCUCUCUGUUCAUUUCUGUGGUGGUUUUCACAUAUGUUCACCAGUGCUUUGCCGUUCAUUCUGGCAGGAUAGAGGGUGACUCCCCACUCCCUGGGCGUGGGCUGGAACGGAUGGUGACUCCCCUCUCGUGACUGCGGAAAGGGAAAAAUGCUAAAUGAGGCUGGGUGACACCACCUUAACCAAGUAGGUCAAGGUUAGCAGUACCGGUGAUAAAACCACGUUGAUGUCAUGAACUGUGACAUGGUAUGAUGAGAAAAGUACCUCACGUCAUGGCAUUCCUCCCCCAAACCCUAGUCUAAUCCUGAGAAAGCAGUAAAACCCAAACCGGGGGUCGUGAUACCCGACUCGUAUUCCUAAAAAAUGGUAAGGAGAUACAUUAAAAGCAAGGAGGGACUAAAAUUGGCUGUCAUGGGUCAGAGAAAAUUAAGGAGAACUGACUAAAUGUAAUGGUUGAUCUUAGAACAGAAGAAGGCUAUUAGCAGUUAAACUGGUAAAACCCAGAUAAAUGAAUGAAACUGUCGCUUAACUCAGUGUUGAUGCAAAGUUAACUUAGGGGAAGCUGGUGAGCGGUAUAUUGGGACUCUGUACUAUUUUACUUCUCUGUAAAUUAAAAAAUCUUUAAUAUCUAAUUAAGGAUAUACAAGAAUUCUAUGGAGAAAUUACAAAGCCUUAACGAGAGACAUUCAAGAAGACAGAAAUAAAGGAGAACUAUGCUUUGUUCCAUUGAUUAGAAAACGCAAUACUAAGAAGAUUCUCCCCAGAUCAUACUAAAAAUCCCACGGUUUCUGUGUUGGAACCCUGGCAAGCUGGUCCUCAAGUGACUGCAGGCGCAAAAGGCCAGGAAUCAACAAGAUUCUUGAACGACAACGAGGUUAGAGGCCUUGCUGUGCUAGACAUCAGCGCCGGUUACCAAGCGGCAGUCACUGAGGUGCUGUGGCGCCGAUGCAGAGAGAGACAGACGGCCUAAGGGGACGGGACUGACUGUCUAGAAACAGCCCCCACACAUACGGAUGCUUCUCGUGUAUCAGAGGUGGCCUGCAGAUGGUGGGUCGAGGAUCUUCAGGGAUAGCUGGCUGUUCACACAAGGGAAAUGUUGAACUGGACCCUUACCUCACACCAUACAUCAACAGUUCAUCAAUGGCAUUCCUGGCAGUUACAAACGAAUGGAGAGAAAACUAUAAAAGGCUUUCCGGCUGAAUCUAGAAAGAGAUCUUCAUGACCUCAGGGUUUGGAAAAAUUUUCUAAGACUUCAGCAAUAACCAUAAAGGAAAAGAUUGAUUCAUUCAACUACAUUAAAAUUGAGACCUUAUGGCUCAGCAGGUAAAGAAUCCACUUGCAAUGCAAGAGCUAGAGAAAACGUGGGUUUGAUCCCUGGGUCAGGAAGAUCCCCUGGAAGAGGAAAUGGCAACCCACUUGCAGUAUUCUUGCUUGAAAAAUGCUGUGGACUGAGGGACCUGGUGGGCUACAGUCCAUUGGAUCGCAGAGUCCCACGCAACUUGGCAACGAAACACCACCAAUCAUCAGACAACGUAUUUAAGAGUAAAAAGCCAACCAUAGGAGAGUAUCCACAAAAUACAGAUAAUUCCUACACAUCGGUAAGAAAAAUGUUAGCAACUUAAUGAAAAAUAGGGCAAGAGACAAGCACAUCACAAAAGAGGAAUCCAAAUGGCUGAUGAGCAUGUGGAAAGGUGUUGUGCCUGACUUGCAAUCAGAGAGAUGUAAAUAAACUCAGGGAGCUCACAGCCCAUGGGGGCGAGGGCAGACUUCCAGCAGGAAGCCGCACAGACAUCACUUAGUCACACCCUGGAGAAGGGCUCCGAGUGAAGGGCUCUUUGCCUGUGACAUUCCCGGAGAGCGCAGGAAAGGGACGGGUAAGUCUCAAAGAAUGCAUGCGCAUUCAAAGGCUCCCAGGUCUGGGACCUGGCAGGAACACUUAUGGCCCCCAUUCUAGAGAUUUGGGGCUGAGAUUCAAGUACCCUGGGUUACAUUAUUCAGUUAUCAAAUGACAGAGCUAGAACUUCAUCCAGGAUUCAAAUGUUCUCUCAAAAAAAACGGGGGGGAAAGGAAAAAUGAGCACAAAUACAUAUUUUUAUGUCUGCAUCACUUGUAUACAGAAGGAAGAACAGCAGAGCGGUGGCUGGAAAGUGAAGCUACUUUCCAAACACCCAAGAUGACAAGUGCCAUCUCCAAAGCCCCAGGGCCAAGGGUGAGCCCCCUGACCCCUGACAGAGGUCCAUUCCUGGUGUUUCAGGAGAUUUAACUGCAUGUCACUUGGCUCAUCAGAGCAGUCAGGGUGUGCACCCGCCAGAGGAGAAUGUGCUAUGCUUGGUUUUAUCCUGAGAGCAGUAUAUGGGGCCCCCACAGCAAGGGGCAAAAAAGGGGCUCCACAUUUUGGUUUUCCCCAAUAGACAGGAAUGGCACUUUUUUGCCCACUCCUAUGUCAGAUGUGGGGUCUGCCUCCCCUAUCACAGGCAGGCAGCAGUCCGGGCCACAAACCCCUCCCCCAUUUCCCACCUGUAGUCCCAGCCUGGUCAGGCUCCUGCAAGAAGGUACAGGGAGUGUGGCGGGGUUGGGGGGUGGAUUUGUAUCCUUGGCAGACACAGUGGCAUACUGCCCCUUCGGGCCAAGGUUUGGGGUAAGUGCUGUGUCCCAGGAAACCUGGCUUCUCAUCCCCAACUUCAAGGAGACUGUGGCUGGUGUUUUGCAAAGAUGUGAGAAAACCAACAGCCCUGGCCUUGCAACUGCAGAGCAGGCUGAGCCCGUGGUGGACUCAGCAACCCGUGUGGACACUGAGGCCCCUAAGAGCCCUGCGUCCCGGCGACACUGGAGUCACACUUUCAUGGGACAGUUCCAGUGCUCGGUGCUCCAAUCCUUGGCUGCCCUCGCCUUGUCAAGGCCAGAAUCUGGGCCUAAGUUUUCAAGGCAGAACAAAACAAUUUUGUUUUCUAGGAAAAUGGGAGGUCUGGGAUGGCGAACGCAGCCUCUGGCGUGGCGACUACCACAGCUGGCGACACCGGCUGCCAAGUCUCACCCUCUCUCCAGAGAACAGGAACCAAACAACACAGCAUCUUUCCUUCUAGCCAGUGGGGAGAAGAGACUGGAUGAUUUUCAUUUCUUCCCUUACGGUAUUCACGUUUUCUAUCCUGGAUGAUACUUUCUCAAGCCAGGAAACAGUCUUUUAUGGAAGUCACGCCUGUCUGUACUUUGCCCCAGCCCACAGCCCUGCACAUCCAUCCUGGAGUUACAUCAGAAUAUGUGAGAGCACCCUUCAUCCUUCCACCUGACCUGGAACUGCCCAGGUGCCCAAACAGAGCUCUCCACCUACCACAGGUAUCUCCCCAACCUUCUGUUCCCGGGAGCACCUGGUCUCACUUCCUUUGGCUUUCCAUCCAGCCUCUGCCUGGUCCAGUCCCUCACUCUCACAGGAAGUCCAGCUGAUCCCCAACACUGGAGCACACUUGGCUUCUACACGAUGCAGGAAGGGAAUUCCCGUCUCUUUCUUCUCCAGUUGUGGCCUCAUUUGUCACAGCAGCGCUGCAGGAUUGCAGCUUUGAUUCGCAUCUCUCGAUGACCAAACCAGUUUAAAAGGCUAAAAAUGAUGCCCUGGACCACACAGACCAGGCCAGGACUUCAGCACCAAGUCAGACCUGCCAUAAGGCCCCAGGCCCUCCCCACUGCCCCCUGUCCUCAGGAGAGUCCCUCUGGUGUCUGGGCCUUCACCUGAUUCUCCCCCUGGUGACUGAUUAAAAUCCUACUGAGCCUUUCACAGGGCCUUCCAAGGCUCUUAGGGCUGCCCCCUCUUCUGGAUGGGUAUGGGGCUUGUGUGUGCUGGGACCACAGUUCUGCCAGCUCCUUGGCCCGGCACCUUGCCUUCCACCUCCCCCCAUACCCCUCCAGGGCCUGGCACAGGCGUGUUCCCUGAGCCAGUUCUCUCCACGAGGACAGACAAGCCGCCCCUGUCCUUCCCAAGCCAAAGCCCCUUCCCACCUGCCUGCCUCAACCUCCGCCCGCGCCCCCCCCGCCCCAAAAGUCCACCCCCUCUUGGCAGGUUUGCCAAAGCCCUGCAGAUCCUGCCACUGUGAACAAGAACCCCCCUCCCCAGGGCAUCCGGACAGCUGCAGGCAGACCCUGCGUGACAUUGCUGAGCUGAGGCCCCAGGUCUGUGCCAGCUGCUCAUGCCCGGCUCACAGACCACAAGCCAGCAUUGCCACGUCGCCACCUGUGUCUCCACUCAGAGGAGAGAAGUAAGGGACACGGACAGAAAGUAAAAGCCAUUCCCACAACAGCUGCCAGGAACAGGGCAGAGAGUGGAGUGAAAAUGUAUAUUCACAGCUGGCACCCAGUUCCGCUUAGGAAAAUACCUUGCUUGAGUGGACACCUGUUGUUUGUGCCUGUCCAACAGCUAGGCCUGGUUUCUGGGAACAGCUUCUCAAAUCUUCCUUGGGGGAGGGUGGGCUGCUCCUUCCCUGUUCCUGAGGCCACAGGAUACAGGUACCUACUGAUCAUCCCCAGAGAGGGCCUGUGGCCCAGGCCUUGGCCUUAGGAGGCACAGAGGCAGGUCCAAAGAUGGCUCAUACCCCAUUGGGGGCUGUUGAGAGCCUGGCCCCAGACUCUGGCAAAUGUGAUGGGGAAAGUGGUGACCUCUUUGGGCUGGGCUUACUGAGCUAGUAGCCAUCUUGCCCCCUUCAGAAAGUGGCUGCCUGAGGACACGGCCAUCCCAGGGGCAAUGGGGAGGGGAGGGGGGGCAGAAGGAACAGGGAGGCCGAGGGGAGAGCACAGAAAAGGGGGAGAGAGAGCGCGAGCAGACGAGAUCAUCCCAGCCCCCGGUCCAGCUGUGCCUGAAACAGCUGGGUCCAGUUGUGCGAGCCAAACCAUGUCCUCUCUGUGUUUCAGCUAGAUGGACUUGGGGUUCCAUUGUUUGUUACCAAGAGAAUCUUUCGGAAUGUGUGCGACAAACUUGGGGGUGAGGCUUGAGCCCAAGGGGGUGGGUCUGAGCAGUGAGGGUCACGCAGGAGCUGGGUUAUUCACACUCCCCUCAGUGUGGUUUGGGGGUUACAGGGCAGAGGAACAAAAGCAGGUGGGAAGGAGCUCCCUCCGUGAUGCCCAGGGGGUUGUCAGAAGGUGGCUCCCUAAAGCCAGAGGCUGGUGGCGCUGCUGCACGGUUGUUUAAAGGGAACUGUGGGACGUGCUGGACCUCACAUCGCUCAAAGGCAUGCAGCCUAGAUUGAACAUGAGCAUGACCGUGAUGUGGAGAGCCACAUGUGACCAAUGCUGGGGAGGACACUGGCCUUCUCUAGUCCCAGAGGUGAGGGCACGGAGAACCCUGGUCCCUAGCGCCCACCUCCACACUGGUGCACAGGCCUCAGCACACACAAAUCUGAGAGAAGGAAAAUGGCUCUGCAGGACUAAGGGUGGGGUCCAAAAAGCGGGGGUGCUCAGGAGCACACGCGGCAACAGAGCCAGGACAGGGUCAGCCCCCAGAGAGCACAGGAAAUGGAAGGGGAGCAACAAAGCCACCCACACGACUCGGGCAACCCUCCGGGGUCUCUGUGCUCCAGGAAGUCGCCAUCCACGUCUCCUAAGACACAGUUCCCGGGGAUGGUUCCCGGCAGCAAGAGCAGCCCCGGGAAACGUUAAUAUACAAUGGAAUCUGGGUUAAGCACUGUCUUCUCCAAGAGUUGAGCUCACAGGACAUUCCCAAGAAACCUCUGGAGAGGUGGGGAGGAAAGUUUCUGGAGGUCUUUGGAUGAAGAAAACAAAAAAAUGGCCUUGAUUUUCAAGGCAAAAUUACAGAGGAAGAAAAAAAUGUUUUUAAUCUAAUUAAGAGCGAUCUUUUCACCUUCAUCACAACAUCGCGGAAACGUGCCAGUUCUUAACUUCACACAAUAAUCAAAGCAAUUAGUGAGGGAGAAGCCUUGGAAACCGGUGCAGAUGUUCUCAGAAUGUUUAAUGGGGAAAUGAGUUGCAGGCCUCGUUCUCAGCAUCCGGCUCCAGGCCCUGGCUACCAAAUCCAGACAUCUGCUUGGGCCCCACCCCCAGGCCCCGAGGGUGCGGGCUUGAGAAACACAGGUCCCUUCCCAGGCCGCCUCCCAGCCAGGCCAGAUCCAGGGCUGAGAGGCUCCCCACAGCUCCCCACGCCAGAGCCUGGACACAGAGCUACCCCAGAGCUGGUAAGGGGGAGGCUUAACGUCAAAAUUAUAUUAACAACUGAUGUCAAAGAUAAUCGAUGCAGCCUGGCUCCCCCCUCACCCCCCACCCCCCCCCCCCCGGGUCCCUGCUGGUUGCAGGAGUACUGGAGGCAGGGAGACGGCACGGAGCCCUGCAGAAAACUCUCAGCUCUGACACAGCCCCCACCUAGUUUGCACAAACACCACUUCAUGAAAAGACAUGGUGGCCUCGAUCUGGUGUGGCCCCCCCAGGCCCCAUUCCAGUGCUGCUAGCCUCUUCAUGGGCCCAGGAGUCAAACUGGUCAAAUAUGAGGAAAUUUCCAAUAAUCAGAAAAAAAAAAAAAAAAAAAAAACGUGGAAGUACAAGGACGGCGCUUGCAGAGGAAACAGCCCACAGCAGAGGGCAGAGGGCCACAAGGCUAGUAUCAACCGGCUGUGGGAGACAGGACCCCAGCUGGGUCGGUCAGCUUAGCAAAUCUCGGAGACCCUGGCGUAUGGCAGGCAUCAGGGACACGGAGGUAAAGAGCACAUGAUCCUUGUUCUCAAGGACACAGAGGCAGCACGGGGGCCUCACUGUGUACCCUCAGCACUCACGUUCCAUCAGCACCAAAGGCCCCUAACGCGGGCCUGCCAGAUGCUUUUCUGAGCGCUAUCUCUGACCUCGGGGGCCCGCUGAGCCACACACAGGGCAGGCCAGGAGUGACGCACAAUGAACCCCCGAGGGGUAGCUUUCAGCAGUGAGAGAUAAACACCCUAAGCUUCUUGAGCAGCUGGUGGAGCAACUCUGAGGAGUGUUCUCUGUGGCUUCCCAGCUGCCCGACAUGGAGCUCUCCCUCAGCAGGCAUUCCCAGGGUACACUCGGGACGCACGGAAACCGACCUGAGACGGACAGGAAGCUGCACUUUCAGCAGGAGAGUGGCAAGGUCUGCUUCUCCCCUGGACUGCGAUGUGCCGUAUGGAGGAGAGGCAGAGAAGUGGCCACAGACUGGUGAAGAGUGGAAGGCAACAACUGAGAGAAAUGGAGGCAGCUUUGAGCAGGGAGGUGUGAAGGCAAAGAGCGCUCAAAGUUCGGGAAGUUGCCCAGGCCUGCUGAUGGACAUGGGCAUGGGGAGGAGGUGUCCUUUUUAAAGGUUUCCAGUCAGUUUAGUGAAAAACAGAAUGCCGCUCCUCUUGUGUCUGGUUUCACAUCUCCCUACUUCUCCUCCCCCGAAGCGUGAGACCAGAAAGGAGUGCAAAUAAAACCACACUCAACUCAUGCCUUUAGCCACAGUAAGGAGCAGAACAGUGUGGCCUUCACGUUACCUGUGAAUUGAGAAACGAACCAAAGUCCAACAGCACGGCAGCCACCUGCCCACCAUUGCGAGACUCUAGCGGAAGAGUCAGGAGCUGAGGCUCACAAUGCCCAGUCCCAACAUAUUAGGGAAGUGAGUGACCUCAGCAAAAA